GCGAGGUGAGGUAGUAGGUUGUAUAGUUUGUGGGAGGAAUAACAUCCUAUUGCGGUGAUAACUAUACAGUCUAUUGCCUUCCUUGA
rnacentral:pre_miRNA from 1 species